GAGUUAGCCGAUGCUUAUUCUUCAGGUAACGUCAUUUUUUUCCUCCCUGAAAAAAGAGGUUUACAACCCAUAGGCCGUCAUCCCUCACGCGGUAUUGCUCCGUCAGGCUUUCGCCCAUUGCGGAAAAUUCCCC
rnacentral:rRNA from 1 species